rnacentral:rRNA from 1 species
CACGUAGGGCGCAAGCGUUGUCCGGAUUUAUUGGGCGUAAAGGGCGCGUAGGCGGCGGGGUAAGUCGGGUGUGAAAUCUCAGGGCUCAACCCUGAAACUGCACUUGAUACUGCUCUGCUUGAGGACUGGAGAGGAGACUGGAAUUCCCGGUGUAGCGGUGAAAUGCGCAGAAUAUCGGGAGGAACACCAAUGGCGAAGGCAGCUCGCUGGGACGGUACUGACGCUGAGACGCGAAAGCGUGGGGAGCAAACAGGAUAGAUACC